rnacentral:rRNA from 1 species
AUUGAACGCUGGCGGCAGGCUUAACACAUGCAAGUCGAGCGAGCGGCGGACGGGUGAGUAAUGUCUGGGAAACUGCCUGAUGGAGGGGGAUAACUACUGGAAACGGUAGCUAAUACCGCAUACCAUCAGAUGUGCCCAGAUGGGAUUAGCUAGUAGGUGGGGUAAUGGCUCACCUAGGCGACGAUCCCUAGCUGGUCUCAGAGGAUGACCAACCACACUGGAACUUAUACCCGGUCCCGCCUCCUACGGGAGGCUGCAGUGGGGAAUAUUGCACAAUGGGCGCAAUCCUGAUACAGCCAUUCCGCGUGUGUUAAGAAGGCCUUCGGGUUGUAAAGCACUUUCAGCGAGGGGGCGUUACUCGCAGAAGAAGCACCGGCUAACUCCGUGCCAGCAGCCGCGGUAAUAC